rnacentral:rRNA from 1 species
UAAGGAAUAUUGGUCAAUGGACGCAAGUCUGAACCAGCCAUGCCGCGUGUAGGAUGAAGGUCCUACGGAUUGUAAACUACUUUUGUACGGGAAAAAACCCCUUGUUUCUACGAGGGCUGAUGGUACCGUAAGAAUAAGGAUCGGCUAACUCCGUGCCAGCAGCCGCGGUAAUACGGAGGAUCCAAGCGUUAUCCGGAUUUACUGGGUUUAAAGGGUGCGUAGGUGGAACGACAAGUCAGUGGUGAAAACCUAUAGCUUAACUAUAGAACUGCCAUUGAUACUGUUGUUCUUGAGUGUAUUUGAUGUAAGUGGAAUGUGUCAUGUAGCGGUGAAAUGCUUAGAUAUGACACAGAACACCCAUUGCGAAGGCAGCUUACAAAACUACAACUGACACUGAGGCACGAAAGCGUGGGGAUCAAACAGGAUUAGAUACCCCCGUAGUCC